UGGGGAAUAUUGGACAAUGGGGGCAACCCUGAUCCAGCCAUGCCGCGUGAAUGAUGAAGGCCUUCGGGUUGUAAAGUUCUUUUGGUAGGGACGAUGAUGACGGUACCUACAGAAUAAGCUCCGGCUAACUUCGUGCCAGCAGCCGCGGUAAUACGAAGGGAGCUAGCGUUGUUCGGAAUUACUGGGCGUAAAGGGCGCGUAGGCGGUUCGGUAAGUCAGAUGUGAAAGCCCUGGGCUCAACCCAGGAAUUGCGUUUGAUACUGCCGUGCUUGAAUUCAGGAGAGGUGAGUGGAAUUCCCAGUGUAGAGGUGAAAUUCGUAGAGAUUGGGAAGAACAUCCGUGGCGAAGGCGGCUCACUGGACUGACAUUGACGCUGAGGCGCGAAAGCGUGGGGAGCAAACAGG
rnacentral:rRNA from 1 species